CCGGCUCCCUCCUCAACCCAGAAACCUGCAUUUAAAAACAGCAACAACCAAGGAAAGCCUUUUCAGAGCUAAAUGGACGAUUCCCGUUCUGAAUGGAAACUUUGCUGGAGGGAGGUCAGAAAAAGAAGCCCUCUGCGGUGACAUCAGCCUCCGUCCAGAGGAUUAAAGUGAUGUGCCAAAUCCAGCCUGGUGAGCUCACUGCGAGGAGAACCAAAUGGAGAGACACAUGAUGGGCUGGGAAGGAGCCAGCCUCUCCUUUCAACAUAAACAGCUUCCCAAAGUGGAAAGAGAAACAAGAUGACCCGGCCGAAAGACAGGAAUGUAUGCUCGGGACAGUGAUAUUUACAGGCCUGACUCCAGCUUUCUACAAAUUAUCCUAAUUAAAUAUGGCUAACUAUGAUGGGCAUUUUCCAAGCAGAUCUGAAACCUGAUCUUGCCAUGCCUCGUUCUGUUUAAA
rnacentral:lncRNA from 1 species